rnacentral:lncRNA from 1 species
CACACACACACACACGCACACACACACACACACGUGCUCAUAAGUGCAGGUUUCCAUGGAUGCCAAAGGUGAAUAAUGGGUCUUCUGGAGUCUCAAACAGCUGUGAGCCACCCCUCAUGAACACUAGGAGCCAAACACCCAUCCUCUUCCAGAGUGGAAAGCACUGUGACCACUGAGCCAUCCCUAACCCCAAAGACCCUUGAACACAAAGAUGCUGUUGAGCUAAAAUUCUGUGAUGAUAAUGUUCAUUGUUUUCAGAACUUUGUGGUUCAAAGAGUUUGCCAUUCUUCAUAUACAGCAUUCCCAUUAAUUCCUGAGUGACAAUUGAGAAAGGGAUUUUAUGUCUUAUACUUAAGAGAUGAGAAAGCUGUCUGAGAGUGAUAACAUUUCUGACUCAUUUAAAAGGUGAAUCGUUGUCAUACUGCCUGGUUUGUAUUUUAUGCUUAAUUCUUUUAAAAAAUUACGUGUGUGUGUGUGUGUGUGUGUCUGUCUGUCUGUCUGUCUGUCUGUCUGUCUGUCUUUCUGGCUGUCUGUGUGUUUGUGUAUGUGUAUGUGUGUAUAUCAGAGCAAGUAAUCUUCGAGACCAGAAAAUAUCAGAUCCCCUGGAGCUGGAGUUAUGGGUGUGCUGGGACGUGAACUCUUGUCCUCUGCGAGCUCAGGAGCACUGUUAAUUGUUGAGCGAUCUCUACAAUACUAACUUUCAGGCCUUUUGAGUCACUGGCUGAUUCUCACUAGAAAAUUAUGUUUAUGUUUCAGGAAGAAGAUCCAAAGUAUCAAGGAAUUUAGGCCUGUGAUCUCAUAACAGUUAUGGUUAGUUUUGAGAUGAGGAGGAUACUCAGCCUUCUUCUUCUUGUACCUUGCAUGGAAACACUUGAUUCAGGAACCCUAGUGAUUGCACAGCUCUCCUACUGGUCUGUCUGCCUGCUCACCAUCCUGCUCUUUCCCAGUAUUUUAUGCUUUGUUUGUGCAUCUAUUUGGUUUGGGUGCAAAGGGCAUGGAUUAUUGAAGUAACAGUGACUCAUUUGUUUUUGAUUUCAGAAGUUCUGAGAUUGUCCCAGUCCCAGCGAGUGUCUACAGGAAUGUUGGUUCCUACCCACAUUGCCUGCAACUUCCUUAGCAGCAACCAAUCUUGCAUUAUUAGAAGUGGAAAGUCAACUGAAGACCAGACUCUGGUCAGCCUUCUUGAGGUCAGUGCUCAUGACUGGUGGGGCUUUGUGGUGAUUCAGCUGUUUUUGUGUCACUCACACUGCUGUCAGUAGCCCUUCUCCAAUACUGUGUCUAUAAAACUCAUGUGCUCAAAAUAACUGGACUUAGGUGGACUGGCUUCUGCAGUUGGUGCCCUAUCAGUGGUGAAUAACAGUUCAUGUUAGUCCCUAGAAAAUGUUAACUCAGUAACAGAAAGUGACUUGUGAAAUGCCUUUACGUGUGAAAUGCUUCCAUGCUGAAUUUCCAUUCAAAUUCCAUACUCACUGCCCUCUGCCCUUUAAUCUAAAUUGCACGCUUAUGGGAGACCAAGGCAUCUACUUUCCGUUUCUGUAGACUAUCACACUGUGGUCUGAAUCUUCUACCCUCUGCCUCCAUGAUCACCUGCUGAGUUCUAAGAGUUUUCCUGUUGGCAAGGGUGUGCAUCACAACAGGAGAAUACCCUCCAUCUCUCACAGUCACUCCUGACACCGGCCCCAUCUCUUUCUUAAAUUUUAGUCACAUUUUAACUUACUUUCUUUUCUUUUUUUUUUUUUUUCGGGACUGGGGAUUGAACCCAGGACCUUGUGCUUCCUAGGCAAGGGUUCUACCACUGAGCCACUAACUUCUUUUCUUUCUAUUUAUCAUCCAUGCUUCUUUUCUUUCUAUUUAUCACUGUUUAAUGUAACCUUUUAGUCAUUCUACUAUACUGAAAAUAUUGCAUUUGAUACAAUUUGAUAUGGUUGUUUGUGCUAAAUUUGAGCCAUGCUUAAUUCUUACAAGUUUCCAUUUUCCAGCAGUUCUUUCAAACUUCAGUGACUAAUAUAUCUUUUUCUAUGGUUGGUUUCUUUUCUGUGUUUUAAGACAAGGUAACAUGUAGCCCAGACUGGCCUUGAACUUACUACAUAGGCAAGGGUGACAUUAACC